rnacentral:rRNA from 1 species
AGAGUUUGAUCAUGGCUCAGAAUCAACGCUGGCGGCGUGCCUAACACAUGCAAGUCGAACGAGAAAGGGUAGCAAUACCUGAGUAAAGUGGCGCACGGGUGAGUAACACGUGACUAACCUACCCUGGAGUGGGGGAUAACUGAGGGAAACCUUAGCUAAUACCACAUAACACCUACGGGUCAAAGGAGCAAUUCGCUUCAGGAGGGGGUCGCGGCCGAUUAGUUAGUUGGCGGGGUAAUGGCCCACCAAGACGAUGAUCGGUAUCCGGCCUGAGAGGGCGCACGGACACACUGGAACUGAAACACGGUCCAGACUCCUACGGGAGGCAGCAGUGGGGAAUUUUGCGCAAUGGGGGAAACCCUGACGCAGCAACGCCGCGUGGAGGAUGAAGUCCUUCGGGACGUAAACUCCUUUCGAUCGGGACGAUUAUGACGGUACCGGAAGAAGAAGCCCCGGCUAACUUCGUGCCAGCAGCCGCGGUAAUACGAGGGGGGCGAGCGUUGUUCGGAAUUAUUGGGCGUAAAGGGUGCGUAGGCGGUUUGGUAAGUCUUCUGUGAAAUCUAUGGGCUCAACUCAUAGUCUGCAUGAGAAACUGCCGGGCUUGAGUGUGGGAGAGGUGAGUGGAAUUCCUGGUGUAGCGGUGAAAUGCGUAGAUAUCAGGAGGAACACCUGUGGCGAAAGCGGCUCACUGGACCAUAACUGACGCUGAUGUACGAAAGCUAGGGGAGCAAACAGGAUUAGAUACCCUAGUAGUCC